UUUAUUUUGAAUUAUUUAACACGAUUUUCGAUAGCGGGUAUAGUUGUAUAUGUGUGCUGGAUAGCCAUAAGGAACUAUCAUUAUUGGUUUUCAUGGCACGUUAUAUUGUGUACCUUUGGGUAUCUGCCUCUAAUGGCGGAGUCCAUUAUGUUAUUUCUAAGUGAUGAAGUAUGGGCUACUCAAAUAUCACGAACUGCCAAAUACACCGUGCACGGCAUAUUAAUAUCUGUAGGAACUGUAAUGAUUAUAUCAGGAGAUUCGAUAGUUUUUCAUUAUAUUACGCCUGGUUAUCAUUUGUACACAGCACAUGGAAUUACAGGUUUUGUCUCCAUGAUUUGCAUAAUUUUAUCUAUCCCUGUUGGUAUAGCAGUGAAAUAUCACC